rnacentral:rRNA from 1 species
UGGGGAAUAUUGCACAAUGGGCGCAAGCCUGAUGCAGCCAUGCCGCGUGUGUGAAGAAGGCCUUCGGGUUGUAAAGCACUUUCAGCGAGGAGGAAGGUGGUGAGCUUAAUACGCUCAUCAAUUGACGUUACUCGCAGAAGAAGCACCGGCUAACUCCGUGCCAGCAGCCGCGGUAAUACGGAGGGUGCAAGCGUUAAUCGGAAUUACUGGGCGUAAAGCGCACGCAGGCGGUUUGUUAAGUCAGAUGUGAAAUCCCCGGGCUCAACCUGGGAACUGCAUUUGAAACUGGCAAGCUAGAGUCUCGUAGAGGGGGGUAGAAUUCCAGGUGUAGCGGUGAAAUGCGUAGAGAUCUGGAGGAAUACCGGUGGCGAAGGCGGCCCCCUGGACGAAGACUGACGCUCAGGUGCGAAAGCGUGGGGCAGCAAACAGGAUUAGAUACCCUGGUAGUCCACGCUGUAAACGAUGUCGAUUUGGAGGUUGUGCCCUUGAGGCGUGGCUUCCGGAGCUAACGCGUUAAAUCGACCGCCUGGGGGGUACGGCCGCAAGUUAAAACUCAAAGGAAUUGACGGGGUCUA